rnacentral:tRNA from 1 species
GGGCCCCUAGCUCAGUCGGUGGAGCAGCGGACUUUUAAUCCGUUGGUCGUGGGUUCGAACCCCACGGGGCCUA